rnacentral:rRNA from 1 species
GAUGAACGCUGGCGGCGUGCUUAACACAUGCAAGUCGAACGGAAAGGCCAGUGCUUGCACUGGUACUCGAGUGGCGAACGGGUGAGUAACACGUGGGUGAUCUGCCCUGUACUUCGGGAUAAGCUUGGGAAACUGGGCCUAAUACCGGAUAGGACAACCUUUUGGAUAUUGUUGUGGAAAGCUUUUGCGGUAUGGGAUGAGCUCGCGGCCUAUCAGCUUGUUGGUGGGGUAAUGGCCUACCAAGGCGUCGUCGCGUAGCCGGCCUGUGAGGGUGUACGGCCACCUUGGGACUGAGAUACGGCACAGACUCCUACGGGAGGCAGCAGUGGGGAAUAUUGCACAAUGGGCGCAAGCCUGAUGCAGCGACGCCGCGUGUGGGAUGAAGGUUUUCGGGGUGUAAACACCUUUCGCCAAAGACCAAGCGUAAGUGACGGUACCUGGAGAAGAAGCACCGGCUAACUACGUG